rnacentral:rRNA from 1 species
AACGAACGCUGGCGGCAGGCUUAACACAUGCAAGUCGAACGCAUCGCAAGAUGAGUGGCAGACGGGUGAGUAACGCGUGGGAAUCUACCCAACCCUGCGGAAUAGCUCCGGGAAACUGGAAUUAAUACCGCAUACGCCCUACGGGGGAAAGAUUUAUCGGGGAUGGAUGAGCCCGCGUUGGAUUAGCUAGUUGGUGGGGUAAAGGCCUACCAAGGCGACGAUCCAUAGCUGGUCUGAGAGGAUGAUCAGCCACAUUGGGACUGAGACACGGCCCAAACUCCUACGGGAGGCAGCAGUGGGGAAUAUUGGACAAUGGGCGCAAGCCUGAUCCAGCCAUGCCGCGUGAGUGAUGAAGGCCUUAGGGUUGUAAAGCUCUUUCACCGGAGAAGAUAAUGACGG